rnacentral:rRNA from 1 species
UACGUAGGGGCUAGCGUUGUCCGGAAUCAUUGGGCGUAAAGAGCGUGUAGGCGGCCCGGUAAGUCCGCUGUAAAAGUCAAAGGCUCAACCUUUGAAUGUCAGUGGAUACUGCCAGGCUAGAGUCCGGAAGAGGCGAGUGGAACUCCUGGUGUAGCGGUGGAAUGCGCAGAUAUCAGGAAGAACACCAACGGCGAAGGCAGCUCGCUGGGACGGUACUGACGCUGAGGAGCGAAAGCGUGGGGAGCGAACAGG